rnacentral:misc_RNA from 1 species
CUGGAAAGGGAAACCCAUUAUUAAACAAGCCUCUCCAAAACUCCAUACAUGAUACAUACGUUAUUUUUAUCCCCUUUUGGUUCUUUCUUUAAAUGCGUUUCUCACUCUCUAGAUGGAAUGGAAGAAUGGGUGGUUCGUGGUAAAAUAGUUCAAACAUAAAUUACUUCGCUGAUCGUGGGGGGUUGUGAUAGUUCUUGUUUCUUUAAUAAGGGGGAGGGUAGGGCAGUUAUAUUGGGUGUGACUUUACUUGUGGGCUGGUGAGCCAAGUUAGUACCCAUUUGGCUUCUUCUCUUCAAGCUUCCAAGCAAAAACCUUCAGUUCAAAAAGCCUCAGAGGGUUGGCCUUGGUUUUG